UGGGGAAUAAUGCACAAUGGGCGCAAGCCUGAUGCAGCCAUGCCGCGUGUGUGAAGAAGGCCUUCGGGUUGUAAAGCACUUUCAGCGGGGAGGAAGGCGGUGAGGUUAAUAACCUCAUCGAUUGACGUUACCCGCAGAAGAAGCACCGGCUAACUCCGUGCCAGCAGCCGCGGUAAUACGGAGGGUGCAAGCGUUAAUCGGAAUUACUGGGCGUAAAGCGCACGCAGGCGGUCUGUCAAGUCGGAUGUGAAAUCCCCGGGCUCAACCUGGGAACUGCAUUCGAAACUGGCAGGCUAGAGUCUUGUAGAGGGGGGUAGAAUUCCAGGUGUAGCGGUGAAAUGCGUAGAGAUCUGGAGGAAUACCGGUGGCGAAGGCGGCCCCCUGGACAAAGACUGACGCUCAGGUGCGAAAGCGUGGGGAGCAAACAGG
rnacentral:rRNA from 1 species